GGGUGACUCCUUGGCGCUUGCGCGCUGUUUUGAUGAAGAUUCGCACCUCUAUCAAAACGGGUAACCCCACCUCUUGGCAAGGCCUUACUGUCAGAUCGGGUCGCGACUUCUACAAAUUAUAGUAUCCCUCAGCGAAUACCAGAACGCUCUCGCACGGGGAGCCGGGGCUCUCCUCGGCCUGCGGAGCAUAGAGACUCACGCCAACGGCAUGAGCAAUCACCAUAUCAACGUAGUGCUCUAGUUUUUCGUCU
rnacentral:ncRNA from 1 species